UAUGUACUCCCUCCGUCCCAAAAUAAGUGUCUCAACCUAGUACAACUUUGCACUAAAGUUAGUACAAAGUUGAGACACUUAUUUUGGGACGGAGGGAGUAUGUU
rfam:Triticum aestivum genome assembly, contig: Triticum_aestivum_CS42_TGACv1_scaffold_342817_4DL